rnacentral:hammerhead_ribozyme from 1 species
AUGCAGAUGACGAGUCCGAAUAGGACGAAAUGCGCAUCUUGGAU